GCAAACUUGGUCAUUUAGAGGAAGUAAAAGUCGUAACAAGGUCUCCGUUGGUGAACCAGCGGAGGGAUCAUUACCGAGUUUACAACUCCCAAACCCCUGUGAACAUACCUACAAUGUUGCCUCGGCGGACUCAACGACGGCCCUGAGAGAUCGGGCGCCGCUCGCCGCCGGAGGACCCUCAAACUCUCUGUAUUCAUGUGGAUCUUCUGAGUAAAACAAACAAAUAAAUCAAAACUUUCAACAACGGAUCUCUUGGUUCUGGCAUCGAUGAAGAACGCAGC
rnacentral:misc_RNA from 1 species